CAGCUCUUUAUUAAACCAAUUGGAAGGCACCUCAGCAAAGACACAUCUUCAGGGUAAACAAAUAUUCUGAACGAGAUUAGUGGCUGGGCAUGCCUCAGAGGGGUGAUCUAGAUUAGGUUAGUAUCUAAAGGAUUGUCUAGAUCAGGUCAGAUCUGGGUCAUGCACCUCUGAGGAGUGACCUGGAUUGGGUUAGCUGAAGCAGGGAAGCCGCCAUAACUGGACUGCAUUGCCAGUUAUGAAAAGGAGGAAGUGAGUUGAGCUCUCCCGUUCAUCUUCCUCUGCCUCUACCUGUAGCCAGCAGCCCUCACCUCCUCCACCCUCCCACCGUGAGGGAAUUGCAUCCUGCGGCUCCAGGCCAAAAUAAACUCUUCCUCCUGUAGGAUGCUUUUGUCACUGCAGAAAGAGAAAUAACUUAGUGUGGAGACCCAAAAAUGUGAGCCUGCUCCACCUUGUCUGAAGGUCAGAGGGUUUGAGCUUAGUUUUGCUUUCUCAAAGUUGUUAACAACAGGUGUGGCUACAAACAAGCCUAGGGUGUGGUUAAUUAGUACUCUGGGUGUUGAAGUAGAUCCCCUUCACCUGAACCGAAGGGCAGAGAAUUCCAGCCUAUCCCUCAUGUCAUGCUAAUGAAGCCGGUUGCCUCCCCACCUCCCCUUUAGGAGUGAAGUACAUAAGCCUGUGGAAGAAUAAACGAGGUGAAUUCAGUAUUCACUGAAUGUCCCUCCUGAUGCUGUUCUGUUUCUGUCUCUUAUUUCUCCUAUGUCUGUUCCUUUUGCCUAAUAAUUGGAACCCUCACGCUCCUACCCUGGACCAUGUGAGUUUUGUCGAAGCCGGUUUUCGACAACUACAACUUCCCUUCUCAUUUUCUUUUCCUUGUUUUUCUGGUUGCUUCCUGUCCCUUUUGCUGAUGUUUAUCUGCCUGCUGGCCUUCAGGCUUGUCUCAGCAUGUGGCUCCCUUUCUCUGCUUUUAUCCCCCUUAAGUCUGAGGUGCUACAGAGACCCACAUUCUCUCCUGAGUGUGAGGUCAGUUUGCCCACACCCUCAUCUCUUUGGGUAAUGGAGAACUUCCUCCCUUCUGGUUUUCAGGGCCAGAUAUCUGGAGCAUCAGGCUAUGCCUACCAAAUUUGUUACAUUGAGUCAAUUUGGCUCAUCCUCAUUAGGGAGACUGUCUGGCCAGCCUCCGUUUCCUGCUAAUAGGUACCGUCAGGAAGCCUGUAAGGGGCCAGGCCAGGGCAUCAAAGGACGGCUCUGCCCAGUUGCCCAGAGGUGUAUACUCUGUACAAGAAUGAACAGAAGAAGUAAAGGGAACUUCCCAAGGAACUGUGAAAUCAAGACCCAAAGCAAGAACAACAAAAGCAAAGAAAUUUUGCUUUGAGGAUAUUUUGUGUCCUUCUCAGCUGAAGGAGCUCCCAUGUCCCAUCUGAAAGCGGUGGGGAGUGAGAGAGGAAAGUGCUCAAAGUUGGCCUCUGGCCUCCACAUGGACACACACAGGUAGACGGUGAUGCAUCAUGCAACCCCACGGUCGCACUGAAGUGCGUGUCAGCAGACACACCUGGACUGCACCAUGGGGCUGUCCUGUCUCAUGCUGGGGGAAUUAUUGAUCUAAUGGAUCUGACACUUCCCAACUAAGCUAGCGAUUCUGAAGUCAGCACACAAAGCUUCAGGCGGCACCUGUAAAAGCUGACAGCCGUGAGGGCUGCAGAAACCAAGGCAUAAUGGUGAUUGUGAUUGCCAACGCGCAUAAGAAGGAUGUGCUUUAAAUCCCCAUAACCUACUGGCUCUUUCACUUGACUCUGGUGCCAGGGGCUAGAAAGAUGGCAUCCUAGUGUUAUUGGUUUCCUCCUUAUUCUUCUCAUCUCCUAAAAAGCAUCAGAAUGGUUAUUUCAGAACUCAUAACUAUUAUUAAGAUUAUCUAUGUAUAUAAUAUCUGUGUGUAUACUGGAUACAGCAGGCAUUGUCCUAAGUGUUUCCAUACAUCAGUUAUUGUUAAAGCUUACUUAACUGUGUGAGCGUUUUGCCUGUCUGUAUGUAUAUGCACCACACACACACCUGAUGCCUGUAGAGGUCAGAAGAAGGCCCUGGAACUAGAGUUACAGAUGGUUGGGAGCCACCAUGUGGUACUUGGAACUGAACCUGGGUCCUCUGCGAGAGCAGCGCAUGCUUGUAACCAUCUCUCCAGUUCCCUGUAUCAGUUAUGGUAACCCUCACAACCUAUCCUCUUCAAAGGGAAAGCUACUAACAUUAGUCACUUGGUGGCUACACUUAUAAUCCUUAGUUUACUCCGCCAUUUAUAUUGCUUUAGUUUUCAGCAGGGUCACCGUGGAACUGUGAGAGGCGGGAGGAGGAGACACAGUAGAUGGCUCUCCUGGCAUGCCUGGAAUUCCAAGCUCUUUGCUGUCAUCUUGUCCAUAUGCGCUGGCACGGUUGUUAUUUCUUGGAAGACUACACAGGAUAAUGAGCCAUGGCUAAAGUGCUUGGAUCUAAGCAUGGCGUUUUGGUUCGGAGAGGUUUUGUCAUGUUGCCUUUAAGGAAAUACCGUUGGAUCUUAGAAAGACUGCCGGUUUUUCUAACAUAUUUUAUGAUUGUUUGGAAGGGAGGCUUAUAGAAGUAGGAAGUGUUGCCUUCUGUGGGCAUUAACUGUACAUUGUAUUUGCCUAGGGUCAGUGCUAAUGCCCUGUGUUUGGAAGUUAGCUAUUAUUAGGGUGUUAUUUAAAUUUCUCUACAGGCUAAAAUGGUCUUAAUGGAGACCUCAUCUGCAACAAUGCAUGAAAGUCAAAAGAAAUCGCAUUCUUUGGGUUCUAUUCACAUAUUUGAAAAUUACACAGGUCAGACGCAGAAAUCAAUUUAGAGCAUGAUUGUUUGAAUAGAACAUGUAUUGGAUUUUUCAAAGGAAAUAUGCAAUCUUUCUUCUCAAACUCUUAUUGAAUAAAUACCGCAAUCUGACCAAGAAAAGGUGUGUCAGAAUCACACAGCUGCCAAUUUAACAAACCGCAACGGAAGUCUGUACUUAGAGAAACUAUUUCCCUGAACAGAUUUAUGCAUGUGCGAGCCUGUAACACGGUGUGACUCAAGGAAGACAGGUUAAGCGUGAUUGACUUCUCUUUGGUGGUUGGAAGUUGAGGAUUUAUCCUUUAGGAGAAACAACCACCCCCAAGUCUUGAAAGGAAAACUCAAAGGAAGCCCUGGGCAUAUGAAUUCAGCUGGACACUUUUAGAUUUCCUUUCCUUUCCAUUUUGAACUUUCAGUUUUCAUUCUUCCCUCCAAAGUUUCCCCCUUCCGCUCCCGCCAUGGCCCUUGGAAAGACAGACACCAUGUCCCUUUUCAAUUUCAAUGAGCUCUUGCUUUCCCAACAACAAAGUAACCACUUGUGAGUAAGGCAAAGAAAAUGAAACUAUGUGUCCCCCUCGGGCUGUCGUCAUUCACUUGCUUCCUCAUCCUUAUGGAUGUCAGUACUGAUUUAAUUGUAAAUCAGCACAAUAUUUGGCUCAUUAAUAAGAAGCACCAAACUGAAGGAAUGCUGAUGUGCAGGAUUUCAGGGUCCUGGGGGAUCUACAGUGCCAUUGCAGGCAGUGUCCUGGAGGGAGGGAGGUGGGUGAUCCUGGAGACAGCUACCAAGACAGAUGUUUGCUUUGGAGCUUUUAAUAUCUUAAUUUUCCUGCCAUUUUAUUGCCGACUCUUUUCUACAUUAUUUUGCCUGGACAAAAUGUGCCCAUCAGUUAAACAUUUAAGAUAAUAGCUGUUGUUAGGGAAUCUGGUCAUUUCCAGAAGGUUCUUAAAGCAUUUCAGUGUCUUUAGUACGAGUAGAUGGAAAAUGAAGGGUUUUCCCUCACGGCGUAGUAGCCCAUGUCUCCAGUGGAGUUUAUCGAAGUGGUAUGAGCCAUCCAUCAGCUAUGGCUGGUUUUUUUUUUUUUU